rnacentral:rRNA from 1 species
AGCGAACGCUGGCGGCAGGCCUAACACAUGCAAGUCGAACGGACCUUUCUGGGUUAGUGGCGGACUUGAGGGUAACCCGUGGGAACGUUCCUUUAGGUUCGGAAUAGCUUCUGGAAACGGGUGGUAAUUCCGAAUGUGUCCUUCGGGGGCAUGAUUUCUUUCCUUUAGAGCGGACCGCUUCUGAUUAGCUAGUUGGUUAAUGUAACGGAUCACCAAGGCGUAGAACAGUAGCUGUUCUGUAAGGAUGGCCAGACACAUUGGGACUGAGACAAGGCCCAAACUCCUACGGGAGGAAGAAGGGGGGAAUCAGGAGCAAUGGGCGAAAGACGGAGGCAGCCAGGCCGCGUGAAUGAGGAAGGACAGAGGAUUGUAAAAGUCUGUCACCGGGGAAGAUAAUGACGGUACCCGGAGAAGAAGCCACGGCUAACUACGUG